CUCCCCUUUGAGAGUAUCGUAUAUCUCGUGUGCAUACUAUCAGCUUUACUUAGUUCUUUACUUUUGGAAAGCUAUAUACAAAGUGCUGCGUGUUUGUUUCACUAUUAUUCUGGAUUGUUUAGUCUCGACUUCAACGUAUCAAUUAAGUGUAUCAAAUCGAGGAAUGCCACGCGGAAGAAGAUAUCAGUAUUAGAAAAAGGCUGCAAGAGAUAGACGGCUGGCUUGGUGUGCCAAAGAUAGAAGUGCAAACAAAGUCCUCAAGUGAUUCUAAUACUACAUUGUGAGGGCUUGAAGAGGCACUGUGUGAGAAGUGGAAGGAACUCAGUGAAAAGAAGAAAGCAUGCAACAAGGACACUGACAAGCAGAUUGAGUAUGAGAGGAAAUACACAAGAAAGCUAGAAGUUUAAAUCACCCAAAGAGAAAAAGGAAUCUGCCAAAAGAGAUAAAGAGGCAACGAAAAAACUAAAGUUGACAUUUGGAACAACCAGCCUAUAUAAUAAAAUCAUUUAGAUUACCUAUACCACCCUUAAUUGAUUAUUUUCUUGUCAAGGAGAUG